rnacentral:rRNA from 1 species
CGGGCGGCGCGCCGGUCUAAGUCCCUUGGAACGGGGCGUCACAGAGGGUGAGAAUCCCGUAUGUGACCGGUGACCGCGCCCAUGUGAAACCCCUUCGACGAGUCGAGUUGUUUGGGAAUGCAGCUCAAAAUGGGUGGUAAAUUUCAUCUAAAGCUAAAUACCGGCCAGAGACCGAUAGCGCACAAGUAGAGUGAUCGAAAGAUGAAAAGCACUUUGGAAAGAGAGUCAAAAAGUACGUGAAAUUGUUGAAAGGGAAGCGCUUGCAACCAGACCUGCCCGCGGGUGAUCAACCGUCCUUCGGGGCGGUGCACUCGCCCGCGAUCAGGCCAGCAUCGGUUCGGGCGGUCGGAUAAAGGCCUUGGGAACGUAGCUCCUCUCGGGGAGUGUUAUAGCCCUCGGCGCAAUGCGGCCUGCCCGGACCGAGGACCGCGCUUCGGCUAGGAUGCUGGCGUAAUGGUUGUAAGCGGCCCGUCUUGAAACACGGACCAAGGAGUCGACCAACUAUGCGAGUGUUUGGGUGUCAAACCCACACGCGCAAUGAAAGUGAACAGAGGUGGGAACCCCUCUCGGGGCGCACCAUCGACCGAUCCAGAUGUCUUCGGAUGGAUUUGAGCACGAGCAUAGCCGGUCGGACCCGAAAGAUGAUGAACUAUGCCUGAAUAGGGUGAAGCCAGAGGAAGCUCUGGUGGAGGCUCGCAGCGGUUCUGACGUGCAAAUCGAUCGUCAAAUUUGGGCAUAGGGGCGAAAGACUAAUCGAAUUCAU